UGUGCUUUUAUUUUGAUAGAAACUCACCGGGAGUUUUGACCAGAAGUUUACAUGCAGACAUUCUUGUUGCUAGCUUCACGGAGCUUCCACUAAAGUGAAGAGACUUCCUGCAGAUGUUGCCAUGGCAACCUAACAAAUGGAAGUCCAAGUGAGAGGGUGAAAUAAACACGCUAAUGCUGUAUCUGGUAAAUUAAAACCACAACAGGAUGCCUGUCUACAUUCGGAAAGGUCCGACAGAAAUCCCGGAGCCAUCUGAGGGAGGAGGCAGUGAUGAUGACAAGGAUUUGUUUCUGAGGGAUCCAGAACAGUUUCAGGACCGACUCCCUCAGCCCUACCGCAUGAUUGAAAAAGUUCUGAACAGACUGGUCGACAAAGCGUGGGGAGUCAUCUCAGAGCGAGAGGCGAGCCGUAUCGCCAAGGGGUCCAGGAAAAAAAAAAAUGUUUUGGACCCUACGGCUGAAGUUAAGCUUCAGAAAAAGCCUAACUGCCUGUCCUGCUCAAGGGAUGGAAAAUAUGUUUUCUUGGGUCACUACCAGGGACUGUCUGUUAUCAGCACCUCGUCUCUCAUCUGCGUCGCAGCAUGGGAGGACGAAAGCUUGGAAAUCACAUCCCUUCACAGCGGCUGUCUCGGAGAGGUGACAUAUGUCCUGUCUACUGUGGACGAUAUGGGAGUUUCAAGGAUAUUUGCCUUUUGUCCAGACUUUAUCUGCUUAAUUAAAACCAUCAAUGAAACAGAUGACAUAAGUCAAAGGAAAGUAUACACAAAAUUUGAACUGUCUGAAGGUGGGAACUGUGCAGCUGCUGUUAUUGAGUGCAGUGGGGAAUUUUGGCUAGAGGUCUAUCGAUUUCCCGUGGAGACCUGGCUGAAAGAGCUGGAGGUCAUUCAGGCUGCAUCUCAAAAACAGGUGCCACACUCACCUGGAGGUGGAGAAAUGAAAUUUUCUCCCAUAGGUCUCAUUAUGAAGAUAAGGCCACCAAGAAUCCUCUCAGGCACAUCUUUGAAAAGUCCCUUUGAAGUGUUACAGAGGACUGAGGAUGGAAACGUGAUUGGUUCAGGCAAACAUCACAUGAUAAGCGGUCACCAGUGGGAGGAUCAGCAGGCUGUGUUCAAGUAUGUGUAUAGAAAAGUUCUCUGUGAAAACAAGUGCAAAGCAAAGGAAGGAGAGGACAGUCCCAGGUAAGAUGAUUAUGCAUUGCUGUUGUUAUGAACAUAAGAAUGAACGUUUUUAAGUUCAUUAACUCCUUUGUUGAGAUGCCAAAUCUAGCCCAUUCUCGCAUUCUCAGGUGCUCUAUUUAAGGCUUUAUAACUCCAGAUGUGAGUAUGACAGAGACUUGGAAAUGGCUUAAAUGAAGCAAGACACUUGUAUCAUUUACAGUUAGAUUAGUUUAUAUUCAUAAUUUAGCUAGAUAGAAAUAAAUUGCUACAAAUGCAAUUAUCUUGGCAAAAAUGAAAUUUAAGUUUUUAAAGUGAAAUUAAAGUUACAAUCUCGAAGAUUUCAGUUUCGUUCUCUAUGGCGAGAUGGCGGGAAGCGGUAAUUGCAGGUGCGUUUUUGGACCUCACUUCCCAUAGAUCCAACCGGAUCCAACCAUUGUCGCCUGUGUGAUGUCAGUCAGUUGGCACCUGGGCCACGCCAACUAUAAAACUUAUUAUUUACUGAAUAAAAAAUGGUUGUUAUAAAAGUAAUGUUAUGUACAUACUCAUUCAUUGUCUAACAUUAGGCUAACUUAAACUGUAUUUACACUGCCGAGCCGGGUUAAAAUACUGUAGCAGAUCUGGGAUAGAAUUAGUGAUGAUCAAUUUCCACACACGUUCUUUAUCCACCGUUUGCCCGGUGUGAACAUCUUCACACUGCAGAGAAGAAUUUGCGGGAUUCGCUGUGGCUCGUGCAGUUAUGUAUCCCGUGCACAAUAAACAGUCUUUUUCGUGAAUGACUGUUGUGUGAUAUUUUUGAAACAACUGCCUUACAAAAUGUUACCUCUGGUGUUUCUGGUUUUGCUAGCUAAACUGUUUGAGAAUAAAGCUGAGCUGAGUGUUAAAUUAGCAAUCAGUACAAGACGAAUAAAACAAAAACAAAGGAGAUUUAAUCAAAAAAGGGCAUCAAGGCUGAAGGAACAUAUGAGGAUAUAUUCGCAACGAGACGAAACAGUUUUAGAAUGUUGCAGAGAAAACUGCAGCGGUGUGAACAGGUUAGUAGCAGAGCCGUUGCCUGCCCCUUUAGCAUUGCAUUGCAUUCGAGAGACGGUUGGCGAGAAAUGGAAAUGAAUGAGUGUACGUCUAUGGCAAGCACUUCAUCACAGGUUAGUUAAUGAUGUUAAAGUCAAAAGUCAAAGUAGUGAAUGUUGAUGCUGCAUUGAAAGGACAGAACAUAGAACAUACUGAAAAGCCAAGGAAAUCCAAAUUUACUGUUAGCCUGUAACAAAAGGGUUAAGUUAGAUAACAGCUAGCUCGCUGUUUCUUUAAUUUUUUCCAUAUAAUGACGCUGAUCAUUGAUCGGCAACAACAUAACAUAAUUAUUUGCCUGACUGGCCAUAGGAUUUGGGCUCCUAAUAGCUAAAAAGCAAUACGGUAUUCUUAUUUUAUGCUAUUAAAUUGACAAAGGCCUCAGAAUUUGCAUUUAUCGCCAGCCAAAUUAGAGGGGCCGCUUUCACCCAAAAAGGGGCGGGGGCAUGAUGCAAGGGCAUCUAUAUCUGGGACUAAAUAUGGAGUAAAUGUGCAACCUUACUAUUGGUUUUACACGUAGAGAUGUCCCUUUUGAGACUGAGUGGUCAUAUAUUGUCUUGGACAAUCUGUUUGUAAAAUACACACUCAUCUGUGAGCCUGGGUACCUUCCAAAAUAACUGGGCGUAAUACCACAUGUCGUUUACAGUGCUGUCGCCCUUUUUAGUACAGUCUGGCUUGAUCAAUAAUUAAUCAAUCCAAUAAGUGACAGAAUAAGCUUUCCAAGGAUGUAUAACAUGUCUAAGUUUGCUUUUGGAGUAGCGUUUUAUAGCGCAGCAAUUUACCGUGUUGUCACCCUUUGUAGUACAGUCUGAAUUGAUUGACAGUUAAUCUAGCCAAUUGGUGACAGUAUACGCUUUCUAACAAUGUAUAACAUGUCUAAUUUAACUUUUUGAAUAGGGUUUUAUAAACCUGCGUGACCGAAAGUUGUGAGUCAUCGCAUUCACUUACACAUUCACUCCGUGGUAUCCGUAAAAGACACUGCUCCAGGCCAAAUUAUAUCGAUCGGUUUCGUCUUAUUUUGUAAGAUAUUAUUAUUAUUGGAGACUUCUGAGCAUAGCUAAGCCAUAUGUUUGCUGAUAGACCCAGCUGACAUAGUUUUCUGGAGUACGUCAGGAGAGGAGACGACAGCAUUGAUUCUCUGUCUCUGUCUUUAUCUACUGAACGCAAAUAAGAUUUCUUCGUUGAUAUGUGUUACUGCUCAAAAUAUUCGAUUAUGUACAUUAUUUUUGAAAUUAACUGUCUUGAAAUAGGUUAGUGGAAUUUUAUAAUGAGGAUAUUUCACACUGUAAUGUAAGCGUUUGUUGGUAGCUUCAGCUGGGUUUGUGUUCAUGCACUGUGAUGUGAACUGUAACAUUGCAGAAAUGUGGAUGACAAGAGUUAAAGGGGAAUUACACUUUAUAACACUUCUGCUUCUCCUGACUGAUAUUGUCCUUCAUUUUUCGAUUAGUUAUUUCAUUUUAAAUGUCUAACGUUAGAAACAAAGACCUAUUUUUUUUUUUAGCGCAAGUCCACAUAGUAGUACGGUUUCCGGUUUUUUCUUCUUCUU